rnacentral:rRNA from 1 species
AGCAGCCGCGGUAAUUCCAGCUCCAAUAGCGUAUAUUAAAGUUGUUGCAGUUAAAAAGCUCGUAGUUGAACUUCGGGGUUCACCCAUUGGUCAGGCUUAACUGUCUGCACUGGUGAGAUGAAUCUCUACCUUCUGAGGAACUUUCAUGCCAUUUAUUUGGUGUGAUGGGAAAUCAGGACUGUUACUUUGAAAAAAUUAGAGUGUUUAAAGCAGGCUAACGUCUGAAUACAUUAGCAUGGAAUAAUGAAAUAGGACGGACUGGUUCUAUUUUGUUGGUUUCUAGGAUCACCGUAAUGAUUAAUAGGGAUAGUUGGGGGCAUUAGUAUUCAAUUGUCAGAGGUGAAAUUCUUGGAUUUAUUGAAGACUAACUACUGCGAAAGCAUUUGCCAAGGAUGUUUUCAUUAAUCUAAGAACGAAAGUUAGGGGAUCGAAGACGAUCAGAUACCGUCGUAGUCUUAACCAUAAACUAUGCCGACUAGGAAUCAGACGAUGUUAAUUUUUUAAUGUAUCGUUUGGUA